rnacentral:rRNA from 1 species
UAGGGAAUCUUCCACAAUGGGCGAAAGCCUGAUGGAGCAACGCCGCGUGAGUGAUGAAGGCCUUCGGGUUGUAAAACUCUGUCAUUCGGGACGAACCGGAGUCUGAGGAAAUGCAGACUCUCUGACGGUACCGGAGGAGGAAGCCCCGGCUAACUACGUGCCAGCAGCCGCGGUAAUACGUAGGGGGCAAGCGUUGUCCGGAUUCACUGGGCGUAAAGCGCGCGCAGGCGGUGAUGUAAGUCUGAGGUGAAAACCCGAAGCUCAACUUCGGGACUGCCUUGGAUACUGCGUCACUUGAGGAUAGGAGAGGCAAGGGGAAUUCCACGUGUAGCGGUGAAAUGCGUAGAGAUGUGGAGGAACACCUGUGGCGAAGGCGCCUUGCUGGCCUAUUUCUGACGCUGAGGCGCGAAAGCGGGGGGAGCAAACAGG